AACGAACGCUGGCGGCGUGCCUAACACAUGCAAGUCGAACGCGAAAGUCCUUCGGGAUGAGUAAAGUGGCGCACGGGUGAGUAACACGUAGGUGACCUGCCUUUUAGAGGGGAAUAACCAGAAGAAAUUUUGGCUAAUGCCGCAUACGAAAUACAAAAGUAAAAAUAGUAUUUGAAAGGAUGCCUCUGUAUAGGCAUCCACUAAAAGAUGGGCCUGCGGAACAUUAGCUAGUUGGUGGGGUAAAGGCCUACCAAGGCAACGAUGUUUAUCCGGUCUGAGAGGAUGAUCGGACACACUGGAACUGAGACACGGUCCAGACUCCUACGGGAGGCAGCAGUGGGGAAUAUUGCGCAAUGGAGGAAACUCUGACGCAGCAACGCCGCGUGAGUGAGGAAGGACUUCGGUCUGUAAAGCUCUGUUAAUGUGGAAAAAUGGCAGUUGGUCUAAUAGGCCGAUUGUUUGAUGGUACACAUAGAGGAAGCACCGGCUAACUUCGUGCCAGCAGCCGCCGUAA
rnacentral:rRNA from 1 species